AUUGAACGCUGGCGGCAGGCCUAACACAUGCAAGUCGAGCGAGCGGCGGACGGGGGAGUAAUGUAUGGGGACUGCCCGAUAGCGGGGGAUAACUACUGGAAACGGUAGCUAAUACCGCAUACUAUCGGAUAACCCAGAUGGGAUUAGCUAGUAGGUGAGGUAAUGGCUCACCUAGGCGACGAUCCCUAGCUGGUCUGAGAGGAUGAUCAGCAACACUGGGACGGGGAAACGGCCCGGACUCCUACGGAGGCAGCAGUGGGGAAUAUUGGACAAGGGGCACAGGCCGGAUGCAGCCAUGCGGGGGGUAGGAAGAAGGCCCUAGGGUUGUAAAGUACUUUCAGUCGGGAGGCGUUACCGACAGAAGAAGCACCGGCUAACUCCGUGCCAGCAGCCGCGGUAAUUC
rnacentral:rRNA from 1 species